CCCAACCAUCCCUCCUGGUUUCCAGCUCAGAACUGAUGUGGAAACAUGGGUUCACUCUUGUGUUGUGAUUGUCUCACUGGUAUGUGACUAUUCAGUAGGCAUUCAAAAGGUUAUGUCUGUGAUGUGAGGUCUUGAGGAGGGUGGAUGUAGCAGUGAGAUCUUCAAGAGGGUGGAUAUAAGAGUGAGGUCAUUGUUUUCCCUAUUAAAAAGACACUUUUCAGGCACAAGAAGUAUCUUUAAUUGCAUUUUUUCCUCCAUUUAAAAGAAAUAAAGCCUUUGGCAGCGCAAUCCCACUGGAGGGUGGAGGAUGGAAGGGACUACACUGAGUUUCAUCUCCAACUUUUAUGGCAACUGAUGCAGCUGAGGCCUGUUUAUCCCAGGGUGGGGUUCCCCAGUGCUUCCAAGACUCGCUGCUCCCUGUUCCACACUGGAUUCCUUCCCUUCCUGCUUCCCAAGUAUCCUGCAGUUUGGGUUGGGGCUGAGCUGGUGUCAGUCCUCACCAGAUGAGGAGCUGCAUGAAGCAGAACAUUGGCAGCUUUUUGUUCAGUGGUUCACUUCUGAAGCCUGUGAUAAAAGUGGUGCUUGGAGCCUGCUCUGCUGUUUGGCAUCUUCAUUCCAUCAACCCAGACCCCCAGGAAUCACCCCCUGGAGACCAUCAGCAACUACACUUCCUCCUGGGAUUCAUCUACCAAGCCUGUUGUGAUGGUUCCUCGGUGUCUCCAACGUCCUGGAGUAACCAAAGGUGUGAAGCUGGGUUUGGUUUUGACUGUCUGUAAUGGUAACAAGUGUUCCUCUGCCACCAGCACCCUGCCCAUGCUGCCACCUCAUCCACACUCAGCUCUUGUGCUGUGUUGUCAUCUGUCCUGUGCUUUCCAGGCCUGUGUUCCUCAAAGGAGCUGCAUCAGAGGAUGACACCGUGGCUAAACCAGUGACUCAGCGCAGGCAUUUCCUAUUGAAGGUGGGUGUCCCCUCCAGCAGGGUGUGGUUGACUGGUGGAAGGUGAAGCACCUUGCCUGUCACCUGCAGGAAGUGAUGGAGGUCAACAGCAACAUGCAGAGAUGCAGGUAAUGUCUAGCACCCAAAAAAGUCCCACCAGGAGGGGUGCUGCUCUGGAGCUGUCAAGUGAUUCCCUGGAUGCAGCAGAAGGGCUGAGGAUGCUUCUCCUCCUCCUCCAAAUGAAGAUCUGCUGUGGCAGGAAUUGAAUAAGGAAUGUUCCAACCAGGAGUAGAAAGUGUUUGAGAAAGGAAGGGAGUAAUCAUCAAGGAAGAUCAUUCUAAAGGCUGGUUUUGCCUUAAAGGAAAGCAAAAGGACUUGCAGAAGAGAUCCAGUUCUUGGGGCUGAAGUGGAAGGAUGGACAUCAUCACAUCCCCGUGGAUAGGGUCCAUAAUAUCACAUCCAUGUCCUCAGCAACUGACAAAGGAAUUGCUGCUUCCCUGGUGUGUGGGUCUCUGAGGAAUGUGAACUAGGAGCCUUGAGCAGUAAAACCCUGGGGAGACCUGAGGCCUUUGGGAAUGAAUCAGUGGAUUGUGUUGCUUUGUGAUGCUGGCUCCAGCUGGGGUGGAGCCUGAGGUGUAGGUAAGCACUGAUGGGUUGGCUCUUGGUGGACAGGGUUUGGGCAGCAUCAGGGCUUUAUUCCUGUGCCCCAUAGCAAGUGGAAGGAUGGGCAGAUGAGAAACUUAUGUAGUUCAAGCAGGACAAGUGUCAGGUCUUGCCCCUGGAUAACCACAAUCCCAGAGUACAGCAGAGGCUGGGAUAUGCCUAGAUGGGAGCAGCUCUGGAAAGGGAUGUGGUGGACACAAGCUCCAUAGGAGUGACCAGCGUGUGGCUGCAGCA